UACGGAGGGUGCGAGCGUUAAUCGGCUGUACUGGGCGUAAAGGGCGCGUAGGCGGUGGGUUCCGUCUGCCGUGAAAUCCCCGGGCUCAACCUGGGAAUGGCGGAGGAAACGGGCUGACUGGAGUAUGGGAGAGGGUGAUGGAAUUCCAGGUGUAGCGGUGACAUGCGUAGAGAUCUGGAGGAACACCAGUGGAGAAGGCGGUCACCUGGCCCAAUACUGACGCUGAGGCGCGAAAGCGUGGGGAGCAAACAGG
rnacentral:rRNA from 1 species